AGUGAGGCGCGCGCCGGGCGGGGCGGGCGCGCCAAGGGUUCCCCGCCCUCCCGCCGGUCACAAGACCGGGGUCACGUGGGCGUGACGGGGCGGGGCUGAGGGCGGGGCCUGGGAGGGCGUCUUAAAGACGCCGCGGCGGGCUGGCUGGUGGGGUGUUGUCCUCACUCGGUCCCGCCCCAUGUUGGAUCUUGGACUUCCAGAGAAGUUCUGACACCCUGCCCCGGCCGGAUACCCAACAAGAUCCUGGCCAUCUUUAGGCCUGUGUUUGCUGAUCAAACCCCACUGCCUCUGGUUCCCCAGGAGGGCCUCUACUUAAGGACUCUGUCUCAUGAAUCUUGAGUCAAGAGCUCAAGUUCAUCUUCAGCUACACAGAAAGUCUAAGGACAGAUACAUGGACUGGUGGACGGACGGGAGCAAAGCCAGCCUCUGAGUCUGAGCCCAGAAGAGGAAGUGUAAGAAACAGACGACGGCUGUGGGAUUCCCCCGGGUUGGGGUUUGAACAGACGAGAGGAAGAGUUAGAGUGACCGUGGAGCCCUGUGGGACAGUCCUGUAGCCUCCGGGCAGAAGGGAGAAUGUUCUGAAGGCGCCUGUCUCCCCCGUUUCCAGCCUCAGGCUAAUGAAACAGUGGACCUUAAGGAAUUGGAAUUUGCCGGGAAAUCUCAUUCUAUGGCAUUGUGGGAAGUGAUCCCCGAGUGCUUGAGGGCAUGGUCCCCAGUUGGUGAACUGUGUGGAGAGGAUUUAGAGGUACAGCCUGGUGGGAGGUGUGCCACGGGAGGUGGGCCACGCGAGGUGUGCCACUCGAGGUGGGCCACGAGAGGUGGGCCACGCGAGGUGGGCCACGGGAGGUUUCCAAAGCCCACGGCACUCCCAGUUAGCGCUCUCUGCCUUGUCCUCGUGGGUCAGAUGCCAGCCCUCAGGUCCUACUGCAGCCCGUGCUGCCUGGCCACUGCCACGCUUUCUCACCGCGACCUCAUGGACUCGUCUCUGAAACCAUAAGCUCCCCCAGAAACUCUUCCAUAUAUCCUCUUAGUGUCUCUUCACAGCAAUAGGAAAGUUAAUUUAGCCGGGCAGUGGUAGCGCACGCCUGUAAUCCCAGCACUCUUGGAGACAGAGGCAGGCAGAUUUCUGAGUUCGAGGCCAGCCUGGUCUACAGCGUGAGUUCCAGGACAGCCAGGGCUACACAGAGAAACCCUGUCUGGAGUAAAAAAAAAAAUAAAAAAAUAAAAAUAAAAAUAAAUCCAAAAAAGAAAGUUAAUUUAGACACUGGAGAAAGAGAAGGCUGAAGGGCUGGAGGUUUAGGCAGAGCGAGCUUCUGGAAGAAGUCCAUCACUGGGGCUGGCCCUGAGCUUGAAAGGCCCUGUCCAGUUUGCCCUCUCUGCUUCAUGCACCACUGAGGACAUGAACUCUUGCUCCGGCUGCCACGCCGGCCGCCGGCUGCCACACUCCCCAGCACAGUGGGACCCUCCUAUGGCUCCGGGAACCACAGGCCAAGGCUAAAUAAACCUUCCUUGGUGAUGGUGCUCUACCUCAGCGAGGGCGGACCCCUAACUAAUGUCGCGGAAGGGAGAGACUUAAGGGUCUCAGCAUUAGCCAUAAUUAUCAUUUUGGUUACUCUCAAGUUACAUCUCAAAGGCUUCCUCUCCCUUGUUCCUUCCACCCCUUGCUCCCAACCCUGUCUCUGAGACAAGGUCUUAUGUAGCCCUCCCUCUGUGUAGCCAAAGAUGACCUUGAACUUCUAAACCUCCGGCCUUUACCUCCCAAGCGCUGGGCUUACAGCCAUGCACCGCACAGUCUGUGGUGUUGAAGCCGGGACUCAGGGCUUCAGGAUGGUGGCCGCCAACCCUGCUACCUAUUGGCCGGAUCCCCACCCGGCUAGUUUCUGAUAAGCAAUUCCCCAGGGCGGCUGGGCAGGUAACUUACACGGAGUCAAGCCCUGAUAAGGUGAAGCCGGGAGGUCCUGGGGUCCCACAGGGCUUUAGCACACACCUUUUACCGUGGUGGGGAUUCUGGGGAGAUUCCUAGAAAAUUGCCGGUUACAGCUGGGAAGGGAGAAGGGCCUUAAGGAGAUGAUGCUAACUGUGCUGGGAUGUUUGCUUCUCAGCUGGAGAGGGGCUGCAAGCAGGUGUCUGGACGAGGGAUCUUUUCGUCCCCUUGUCCCCACGAUAGCCCUGGCUUUGUAUCCUGUCUCACCAGAGACCAGAAGUUAAAACUCUGGGUGUGGGCAGGGCCUCAUUUCCUCCAAAGGCGCAGUGACUCCGGGUUCCUUGGCACACACAACUGAAAUGUCUUUAGUUCUCUCCUGUGGCUCUCUGGGUCACCUCCGUAAGGACACGAGUCAUUGUUUGCAUUUCGGGCUCAACCUUGAUACAGCUCUGUCACUUACAUGCACACAUUCUCACCCCUUACCCCUCCCACCGUGCGCCCUCGGGAGGCGAGACCCAGCUGCCCUGUGUUCCUGGCAUGGCUGGAGACAAGACAUUCUAAAGGGUUUUCCCUUCAGCUAUUACAUUAUAGACAUAUAGCUAUUACAGUGGUCUCCAGAGAAUUGGAAUCCCCCACCUCCUCACCUCCCACCCCCACCCAGGAGGGAAACGUGCCAGCCAGAGGGGGGUCUUGUAUGAUCAAUGUCAGCCCACCAUGCCAGAGAGAUUAGAAGCUGAGGUCAUGUUGGGUCAGGGACAGACAGGGCCAUACCUUGACCAGGACAGAUUAGCUACGUGGAACUCUCAGCCCCUAUUUAAACGGAAGCCUCAGAAAUUAAAGAUGCCUCUCUUAGGAGGAUCUGGGUUCAAUUCCUACCUCCCACUUGGCAGUUCUCAACCAUUUCUAACUCUCGUCCCAAAGGAUCUGAUGCCCUCUCCUGGCUGCUGGGAGAACUGCAUGGCGUGUGGUACAAGGCAGGCAAGACACCCAUUCACAUAACAUAAAAAAAUCAAAACUAUGAUUAUGUCGGGAUUCUGAAGGUGGGCAUUGGGGCCACUGGACAUCUUCAUUUGUUCCUCUCCUCAGUGAGGCCACACUGAAUAAAACCUGUGCCUGCGGUUCACUGUCACACGUCUCUUUAAUUGGCAUAUUGGAGACUGCAUGGGAGCCUAGCUCGUCUGGGCUUCUCCAACCGUAAAAACUCC